rnacentral:rRNA from 1 species
AGUGAACGCUGGCGGUAGGCCUAACACAUGCAAGUCGAACGGCAGCACAGGAGAGCUUGCUCUCUGGGUGGCGAGUGGCGGACGGGUGAGGAAUACAUCGGAAUCUACUUUUUCGUGGGGGAUAACGUAGGGAAACUUACGCUAAUACCGCAUACGACCUACGGGUGAAAGCAGGGGAUCUUCGGACCUUGCGCGAUUGAAUGAGCCGAUGUCGGAUUAGCUAGUUGGCGGGGUAAGGGCCCACCAAGGCGACGAUCCGUAGCUGGUCUGAGAGGAUGAUCAGCCACACUGGAACUGAGACACGGUCCAGACUCCUACGGGAGGCAGCAGUGGGGAAUAUUGGGCAAUGGGCGCAAGCCUGAUCCAGCCAUACCGCGUGGGUGAAGAAGGCCUUCGGGUUGUAAAGCCCUUUUGUUGGGAAAGAAAUCCAGCUGGCUAAUACCCGGUUGGGAUGACGGUACCCAAAGAAUAAGCACCGGCUAACUUCGUGCCAGCAGCCGCAGUAA